rnacentral:rRNA from 1 species
CCUACGGGAUGCACCAGUGGGGAAUAUUGCAUAAUGGGCGCAAGCCUGAUGCAGCCAUGCCGCGUGUGUGAAGAAGGCCUUCGGGUUGUAAAGCACUUUCAGUGGGGAGGAAGGCGAUAAGGUUAAUAACCUUGUCGAUUGACGUUACCCGCAGAAGAAGCACCGGCUAACUCCGUGCCAGCAGCCGCGGUAAUACGGAGGGUGCAAGCGUUAAUCGGAAUUACUGGGCGUAAAGCGCACGCAAGCGGUCCGUCAAGUCGGAUGUGAAAUCCCCGGGCUCAACCUGGGAACUGCAUUCGAAACUGGCAGGCUAGAGUCUUGUAGAGGGGGGUAGAAUUCCAGGUGUAGCGGUGAAAUGCGUAGAGAUCUGGAGGAAUACCGGUGGCGAAGGCGGCCCCCUGGACAAAGACUGACGCUCAGGUGCGAAAGCGUGGGGAGCAAACAGGAUUAGAUACCCCGGUAGUC